AGCGAACCUGUUGGUCCAUUUCUGAAUAUGUGUGAGAGCUCCAAUUUAAAUCUCAUCUCUGCUCCAUCGUCUAAGGCGGAUGAAAUACAGUAUCUCAAGUUCCAGACCA